UACGGAGGAUCCGAGCGUUAUCCGGAUUUACUGGGUUUAAAGGGUGCGUAGGCGGGCGUUUAAGUCCGCGGUGAAAGUCUGCGGCUCAACCGUAGGAUUGCCGUGGAUACUGGACGUCUUGGAUUCGGUCGGGGCGGGCGGAAUGCGUGGUGUAGCGGUGAAAUGCAUAGAUAUCACGCAGAACGCCGAUAGCGAAGGCAGCUCGCCGGGCCGAUAUUGACGCUGAGGCACGAAAGCGUGGGGAUCAAACAGGAUUAGAUACCCUGGUAGUCCACGCCGUAAACGAUGAUGGCUGGGUGUUGGCGAUACACUGUCAGCGCCUGAGGGAAACCAUUAAGCCAUCCACCCGGGGAGUACGGCCGCAAGGCUGAA
rnacentral:rRNA from 1 species